CUACGUGCCAGCAGCCGCGGUAAUACGUAGGUGGCAAGCGUUGUCCGGAAUUAUUGGGCGUAAAGCGCGCGCAGGCGGAUUGGUCAGUCUGUCUUAAAAGUUCGGAGCUUAACCCCGCGAUGGGAUGGAAACUGCCAAUCUAGAGUAUCGGAGAGGAAAGUGGAAUUCCUAGUGUAGCGGUGAAAUGCGUAGAUAUUAGGAAGAACACCAGUGGCGAAGGCGACUUUCUGGACGAAAACUGACGCUGAGGCGCGAAAGCCAGGGGAGCGAACGGGAUUAGAUACCCCGGUAGUCCUGGCCGUAAACGAUGGGUACUAGGUGUAGGAGGUAUCGACCCCUUCUGUGCCGGAGUUAACGCAAUAAGUACCCCGCCUGGGGAGUACGACCGCAAGGUUGAAACUCAAAGGAAUUGACGGGGGCCCGCACAAGCGGUGGAGUAUGUGGUUUAAUUCGACGCAACGCGAAGAACCUUACCAGGUCUUGACAUUGAUGGACAGAACUAGAGAUAG
rnacentral:rRNA from 1 species